GACGAACGCUGGCGGCGCGCUUAACACAUGCAAGUCGAACGGAAAGGCCUGCUUUCCCUUGUGGAUUGCGGGUACUCGAGUGGCGAACGGGUGAGUAACACGUGAGUGAUCUGCCCCCAACUUGGGUAUAAGCCUGGGAAACUGGGUCUAAUUCCCGAUAGGACUGCAGGGUGGUGCCUGUGGUGGAAAACGAUUUUCUAGUGGGUGGGGAUGAGCUCGCGGCCUAUCAGCUUGUUGGUGGGGUAAUGGCCUACCAAGGCGGCGAUGGGUAGCCGGCCUGAGAGGGUGGACGGCGACAUUGGGACUGAGAUACGGUCCAGACUGCUACGGGAGGCAGGAGUGGGGAAUAAUGCACAAUGGGCGGAAGCCUGAUGCAGCGACGGCGCGUGGGGGAUGACGGCGUUCGGGUUGUAAACUCCUUUCGACCGCGAGGAAGCCACCUGGUUGGAAGGGUGGUGACGGUAGUGGUAGAAGAAGCACCGGCUAACUACGUG
rnacentral:rRNA from 1 species